AUGUGUAGUCACAAGGACAAAUUCCGUCAAGAGCCCUCUUCAUGUCGUUCACGUAGACACAAACCAUAAGCUGAUAAGAUAUGGCCUUGUGAUAUUCGGUGCCAUUGAUGGGUACUCCAGAAAGAUCAUGUACCUUGGAGCUGCAACGGAUAACAAAGCAUCCACUGCCCUUGGUUUUUUCCAUCAGUCAGUGGAGAGACAUGGGUUUCCAUUAAGAGUUCGAGGAGACCAAGGAGUAGAAAAUGUUGAGAUCGCCAGGUGUAUGUUUUCUGUGCGAGGCAGUGGUAGGGGAAGUUGCAUGUCAGGACAAAGCGUGCAUAACCAGCG